UACGAGAUGUGCGAGCGUUGUUCGGAAUCACUGGGCAUAAAGGGUGCGUAGGCGGUGCGCCAAGUCGGGUGUGAAAUCCCUUCGCUUAACGGAGGAACUGCAUUCGAUACUAGCGUGCUAGAGGGUAAAAGGGGCAAGCGGAAUUCUAGGUGUAGCGGUGGAAUGCGUAGAUAUCUGGGAGAACGCCGAGGGCGAAGGCAGCUUGCUGGGUUACUUCUGACGCUGAGGCACGAAAGCUAGGGGAGCAAACAGGAUUAGAUACCCUGGUAGUCCUAGCCGUAAACGAUGGGCACUUUGUUCUGGGGGGCCUGAUCCCCUCGGAGCCGUAGCUAAUGUGUUAAGUGCCCCGCCUGGGGAGUAUGGUCGCAAGGCUAAA
rnacentral:rRNA from 1 species